rnacentral:rRNA from 1 species
GAUAAACGCUGGCGGCGUGCCUAAUACAUGCAAGUCGAGCGAACGGACGAGAAGCUUGCUUCUCUGAUGUUAGCGGCGGACGGGUGAGUAACACGUGGAUAACCUACCUAUAAGACUGGGAUAACUUCGGGAAACCGGAGCUAAUACCGGAUAAUAUUUUGAACCGCAUGGUUCAAAAGUGAAAGACGGUCUUGCUGUCACUUAUAGAUGGAUCCGCGCUGCAUUAGCUAGUUGGUAAGGUAACGGCUUACCAAGGCAACGAUGCAUAGCCGACCUGAGAGGGUGAUCGGCCACACUGGAACUGAGACACGGUCCAGACUCCUACGGGAGGCAGCAGUAGGGAAUCUUCCGCAAUGGGCGAAAGCCUGACGGAGCAACGCCGCGUGAGUGAUGAAGGUCUUCGGAUCGUAAAACUCUGUUAUUAGGGAAGAACAUAUGUGUAAGUAACUGUGCACAUCUUGACGGUACCUAAUCAGAAAGCCACGGCUAACUACGUGCCAGCAGCCGCGGUAAUACGUAGGUGGCAAGCGUUAUCCGGAAUUAUUGGGCGUAAAGCGCGCGUAGGCGGUUUUUUAAGUCUGAUGUGAAAGCCCACGGCUCAACCGUGGAGGGUCAUUGGAAACUGGAAAACUUGAGUGCAGAAGAGGAAAGUGGAAUUCCAUGUGUAGCGGUGAAAUGCGCAGAGAUAUGGAGGAACACCAGUGGCGAAGGCGACUUUCUGGUCUGUAACUGACGCUGAUGUGCGAAAGCGUGGGGAUCAAACAGGAUUAGAUACCCUGGUAGUCCACGCCGUAAACGAUGAGUGCUAAGUGUUAGGGGGUUUCCGCCCCUUAGUGCUGCAGCUAACGCAUUAAGCACUCCGCCUGGGGAGUACGACCGCAAGGUUGAAACUCAAAGGAAUUGACGGGGACCCGCACAAGCGGUGGAGCAUGUGGUUUAAUUCGAAGCAACGCGAAGAACCUUACCAAAUCUUGACAUCCUUUGACAACUCUAGAGAUAGAGCCUUCCCCUUCGGGGGACAAAGUGACAGGUGGUGCAUGGUUGUCGUCAGCUCGUGUCGUGAGAUGUUGGGUUAAGUCCCGCAACGAGCGCAACCCUUAAGCUUAGUUGCCAUCAUUAAGUUGGGCACUCUAAGUUGACUGCCGGUGACAAACCGGAGGAAGGUGGGGAUGACGUCAAAUCAUCAUGCCCCUUAUGAUUUGGGCUACACACGUGCUACAAUGGACAAUACAAAGGGCAGCGAAACCGCGAGGUCAAGCAAAUCCCAUAAAGUUGUUCUCAGUUCGGAUUGUAGUCUGCAACUCGACUACAUGAAGCUGGAAUCGCCAGUAAUCGUAGAUCAGCAUGCUACGGUGAAUACGUUCCCGGGUCG